UUUCUUACCUUAUAAAUGUUAAGAUUUCCACUACAGAUGUAAGAAAAAGAAGGUCCUUGAGCUUUCUGUCUGGUUGUGGCAGCCAAGAUUGAAUGGGGAAUACAGGA
rnacentral:snoRNA from 1 species